GCUUGUCUCAAAGAUUAAGCCAUGCAUGUCUAAGUAUAAGUAUUAUACAGCGAAACUGCGAAUGGCUCAUUAAAACAGUUAUAGUUUACAUGAUAAUCGAAUUUACAUGGAUAACCGUGGUAAUUCUAGAGCUAAUACAUGCUGGUUAGCCUGACUUCGAGGAAGGGCUGUAUUUAUUAGAUAACAAACCAAUAUUCUUCGUGUCUAUUGUGAUGACUCAUAAUAACUGAUCGAAUCGCAUGGUCCUUGACCGCGAUAAAUCAUUCAAGUUUCUGCCCCAUCAGCUUUCGAUGGUAGUGUAUUGGACUACCAUGGCUUUAACGGGUAACGGAGGAUUAGGGUUCGAUUCCGGAGAGGGAGCCUGAGAAACGGCUACCACAUCUAAGGAAGGCAGCAGG
rnacentral:rRNA from 1 species